rnacentral:rRNA from 1 species
CGUACACAAAAGCGCAUGUGCUGUGAGCUCGAUGAGUAGGGCGGGACACGUGGUAUCCUGUCUGAAUAUGGGGGGACCAUCCUCCAAGGCUAAAUACUCCUGACUGACCGAUAGUGAACCAGUACCGUGAGGGAAAGGCGAAAAGAACCCCGGCGAGGGGAGUGAAAAAGAACCUGAAACCGUGUACGUACAAGCAGUGGGAGCCCCACCACCAAAGCAUUCUCUGGUGUUGAAGGCCCUGCAAAGCAGCAUCGCGGUGGCGGAGCGUCGUUUGCGACGCCCAACACACAAAACAAGCGGUGAGUGCUUUGGGGUGGGGUGACUGCGUACCUUUUGUAUAAUGGGUCAGCGACUUAUAUUCUGUAGCAAGGUUAACCGUAUAGGGGAGCCGGAGGGAAACCGAGUCUUAACCGGGCGUUAAGUUGCAGGGUAUAGACCCGAAACCCGGUGAUCUAGCCAUGGGCAGGUUGAAGGUUGGGUAACACUAACUGGAGGACCGAACCGACUAAUGUUGAAAAAUUAGCGGAUGACCUGUGGCUGGGGGUGAAAGGCCAAUCAAACCGGGAGAUAGCUGGUUCUCCCCGAAAGCUAUUUAGGUAGCGCCUCGUGAACUCAUCUCCGGGGGUAGAGCA